GACGAACGCUGGCGGCGUGCUUAACACAUGCAAGUCGAACGGAAAGGCCCCUUCGGGGGUACUCGAGUGGCGAACAGGUGCGUAACACGUGAGUAACCUGCCCUUGACUUCGGGAUAACUUCAGGAAACUGGGGCUAAUACCGGAUAGGAAUCCUUGCUGCAUGGUGGGGGUUGGAAAGCUUCGGCGGUUUUGGAUGGACUCGCGGCUUAUCAGCUUGUUGGUGGGGUAGUGGCUUACCAAGGCUUUGACGGGUAGCCGGCCUGAGAGGGCGACCGGCCACAUUGGGACUGAGAUACGGCCCAGACUCCUACGGGAGGCAGCAGUGGGGAAGAUUGCACAAUGGGCGGAAGCCUGAUGCAGCAACGCCGCGGGCGGGAUGACGGCCUUCGGGUUGUAAACCGCUUUCAGCAGGGGCGAAGCUUGUGGUGACGGUACCUGCAGAAGAAGCACCGGCUAACUACGUG
rnacentral:rRNA from 1 species